rnacentral:rRNA from 1 species
UGCGUAGGCGGCGAUGUAAGUCAGUUGUGAAAUUCCCCGGCUCAACCGGCGGGACUGCGAUUGAUACUGCGUUGCUUGAAUCGGGUUGAGGCAGGCGGAAUGUGGCAUGUAGCGGUGAAAUGCUUAGAUAUGCCAUAGAACACCGAUUGCGAAGGCAGCUUGCUGGGCCUUGAUUGACGCUGAGGCAUGAAAGCGUGGGGAGUAAAUA